UCUGUUCCCUCGCGCUGUCGCCGCG
rnacentral:miRNA from 1 species